AGAAUGAACGCUGGCGGCGCGCCUAAUACAUGCAAGUCGAGCGAGAAGACGUAGCAAUACGUUUGUAAAGCGGCGAACGGGUGAGGAAUACAUGGGUAACCUACCCUAGAGUGGGGAAUAACUAGCCGAAAGGUUAGCUAAUACCGCGUACGCUUCUUGGACUUCGGUUCAGGGAGGAAAGCGCUACCAAGGGUAGUGCGCUCUUGGAUGGGCUCAUGUCCUAUCAGCUUGUGGUGAGGUAACGGCUCACCAAGGCUUCGACGGGUAGCUGGUCUGAGAGGACGAUCAGCCACACUGGCACUGCGACACGGGCCAGACUCCUACGGGAGGCAGCAGUAAGGAUAUUGCGCAAUGGGCGAAAGCCUGACGCAGCGACGCCGCGUGGGGAUGAAGGUCUUCGGAUUGAAACCCCUUUCGGAGGAAGAGUGGAAUGGGAACCCAGUUCGGACGGUACCUCCGAAGAACGCAGCCACGGCUAACUCGUGCCUAGCAGCCGCGUAAUCGUAGA
rnacentral:rRNA from 1 species